rnacentral:rRNA from 1 species
UUGGAGGGCAAGUCUGGUGCCAGCAGCCGCGGUAAUUCCAGCUCCAAUAGCGUAUAUUAAGGUUGUUGCAGUUAAAAAGCUCGUAGUUGAAUUUCGGGAUCAAGGGAUCGGUCAUGCCUUGGUAUGUACUGGUCUUAUUGGUUCUCACCUUCUAAAGAACCAUGGUGUCAUUUAUUUGAUGUUAAGGGGAAUUAGGACUGUUACCUUGAAAAAAUUAGAGUGUUUAAAGCAAGCUUACGCUUGAAUACAUUAGCAUGGAAUAAUGAAAUAGGACAUCAGAUUCUAUUUUGUUGGUUUCUAGGAUCGAUGUAAUGAUAAAUAGGGAUAGUUGGGGGCAUUAGUAUUCAAUUGUCAGAGGUGAAAUUCUUGGAUUUAUUGAAGACUAACUACUGCGAAAGCAUUUGCCAAGGAUGUUUUCAUUAAUCAAGAACGAAAGUUAGGGGAUCGAAGACGAUCAGAUACCGUCGUAGUCUUAACCAUAAACUAUGCCGACUAGGGAUCGGAUGAUGUUAAUUUUUUAAUGACUCAUUCGGCACCUUACGGGAAACCAAAGUGUUUGGGUUC